UACGUAGGGUGCAAGCGUUGUCCGGAAUUAUUGGGCGUAAAGAGCUCGUAGGCGGUCUGUCGCGUCGGAUGUGAAAAUCAGGGCUCAACCCUGGACCUGCAUUCGAUACGGGCAGACUAGAGUUCGGCAGGGGAGACUGGAAUUCCUGGUGUAGCGGUGGAAUGCGCAGAUAUCAGGAGGAACACCGGUGGCGAAGGCGGGUCUCUGGGCCUUACCUGACGCUGAGGAGCGAAAGCGUGGGUAGCGAACAGG
rnacentral:rRNA from 1 species